rnacentral:rRNA from 1 species
UAGGGAAUCUUCGGCAAUGGACGGAAGNCUGACCGAGCAACCCCGCGUGAGUGAAGAAGGUUUUCGGAUCGUAAAGCUCUGUUGUAAGAGAAGAACGAGUGUGAGAGUGGAAAGUUCACACUGUGACGGUAUCUUACCAGAAAGGGGCGGCUUACUUCGUUGCCACCGGCGGGGGUAUUACGUAGGCCCCGAGCGUUGUCCGGAUUUAUUGGGCGUAAAGCGAGCGCAGGCGGUUAGAUAAGUCUGAAGUUAAAGGCUGUGGCUUAACCAUAGUACGCUUUGGAAACUGUUUAACUUGAGUGCAAGAGGGGAGAGUGGAAUUCCAUGUGUAGCGGUGAAAUGCGUAGAUAUAUGGAGGAACACCGGUGGCGAAAGCGGCUCUCUGGCUUGUAACUGACGCUGAGGCUCGAAAGCGUGGGGAGCAAACAGGAUUAGAUACCCUGGGUAGUCCACGCCGUAAACGAUGAGUGCUAGGUGUUAGACCCUUUCCGGGGUUUAGUGCCGCAGCUAACGCAUUAAGCACUCCGCCUGGGAGUACGACCGCNGGUUG